rnacentral:misc_RNA from 1 species
UUCGGUUGUUUGCUUGGCUUUUUUAGCCUUGUGGGCGGCCGUUUCCCAGUGUGGCUUCGGGGAUGUAUGUCGUAAAAGGUGCAUGAGUGGUGUUUGGUUUGAUACGGGUGGUUGGCUCCCUGCUUGAGCAGGCACGGCCACGCGUACAUUCCUUUUCAGUCGUGCGGCAAGGCUUGUAUCGUCUUGAUCGUAUAUGUGGGUUUUCUGUGUUGCAUACCUGAUCAACGGCAUCGUUUUGAUCAAAAUUGUACCUUCUUCGUCAGGCGUUGCACCUGCAACGCCGGAUGAACCAAGUUAGCAUCCUCUUUGAUCCAAAUAGUCGAUGAGCAUUCGUUGAUUGUUUGGCCCAUUGAGUGGUGGCUCGGUCUCAAGGAUAUGGAAGCCAAAGUGGGCAUGGGUUCGUAUGAUCCUUUUAUUGCCCUCGUUGAGCGUUCUCGCUUCUCUUACACGAUCGCCUUUCACGCAUGGCACGUCCCAGCGUGUUUGGCUACGUCGAAGAAGAU